rnacentral:rRNA from 1 species
UACGUAGGGUGCGAGCGUUGUCCGGAAUAUUGGGCGUAAAGGGCUCGUAGGCGGUUUGUCGCGUCGGGAGUGAAAACUCAGGGCUUAACCCUGAGCCUGCUUCCGAUACGGGCAGACUAGAGGUAUGCAGGGGAGAACGGAAUUCCUGGUGUAGCGGUGAAAUGCGCAGAUAUCAGGAGGAACACCGGUGGCGAAGGCGGUCUCUGGGCAUUACCUGACGCUGAGGAGCGAAAGUGUGGGGAGCGAACAGG